AUAUAUUUAUUGUGAUUGGAAGGGGGAAGGGAGACAGCGGAAAGAUCGAGGCAGAAGCUGCCACCCCUUGCCUGGCUCCAGCCUGGAUCAAACUGAGCAUUUCUGUCACCACGUGCUCUCAGUGAAAGUGGCCACUGGCUUCCUGAGGCGGAAUUCACAGUUGAGAAUUCAGGACUAACUAGAAUUGUUUUUCCCAGAAGGGGCCCUGUCUCUCCUUAUUUUUUGCUCCUCCCUCCUUCCCCUUUUUUCAUGUUCACUUCUGUGGAAGCUGAAUAGAGAAGAGAAACCAGAUGCUGCGUUGAUCACAUUUUAAUUCUGCCCUGUCUGCCAUGCUUCCCCCACUUAGCUUAUCCACAGUUCAAAGCGAUCGCAGACAGAACUCACUCCCCUCUCUGCCUCCCUGAUGUACGAGUCUGUCUGGCACGAGGUUUAUUUCAUUGUCGACCGUGGAACUUUUGUAGGAAUAUCUGUCAUGUGUCUCAGAGCUGGGGUUGAAAGACCCUGAUAAAAAUAGUUUCCUGCAGCGGACUGAUAUGGGAGGGAUUUCUCACAUCUAAACGGCUAAAAAAAGGAGGCACGUUUAGUCACAUCUGGUGACAUUCUCGUCUGACUGGAGAGCAGGGUCUGUGUAAGCAUCUGCACAGAUUUAAAAAUGCAGGCUGCAUCCCCAAACAAAUGGCUUGGUCGGAUACAAAUGGCCGAAACACAUUGUCAUGGGGAAGAUCAACAAAAGCACUGAUCCCUGGGCUGAAUUUCAAUUCUGGUCAACGCAGGGCCAGUCCGUCCAACCCAUGACUUUUGUUCUCUCAUCCUUGACUAUCGGAUAACAGCAUUUAUAGAGCCAACUUGAUUUCAGCUCUUUUCCUCUACACUUGACCUGUGAGUGCUGCUCUGUUCUUGGCACCUGUGGGCGGGAGACCCUUUCCAACGGCUACAACAGAGUAAGGAACCCCCCCCCCCAUUCUUUGUGUCCUGUUUGUUCCCUGCAGCCCAUAGUUCUUCACAACUGCAAAUUGUUCUCAGCCUGUCUUGACUUUGACAGGAACGAUUUUAUUACUGGUAGCACGGAUAUGACACAUGACAAUAUAAGGCAAGGUGUAGAUACACAAAAUAAAUUUAUAGAGAUCACUCAGCCUGAAGGCAUCUGACCACCCUUACCCAGCCUGUUCCUGCUAAAUUUUUCCUUCUUCAGCUGUUCAGGAAUUGCCAAGGCCAAUUGUCAAAUUCUUUUUACCUAGCUACCAGAAAUAAGUAUUUUGCUGAAAUUUCAAGUCUUAAUGGACAAAACACUUCAUUUUUCUGUUUUCUACCUCUUGCCAGAUGUAUCAUUUUUGGAGAACCAGAGCUCAUUUAUCUCCAAGGGAGAAAAAAAGUCAUUCCAUAUUUACUGGUUAGCAAAUUACCACUGAGAGUAAAAAUACAGAGGAACUCUCACUCUGUUAAUUAAUGGGUUAUUCGCCUUGGCUGAACCCUGGCUGAUGGACAGCCACUGUUCCCUUCAAGUUGGCUUAAUUUUCUCUCGUUGGUUUUUGUUUCCUUGAAGCAAGAAGAUUUCUUGGUUCUUUCUUCGUUUGAUUCUGCUUUUGAGGACUGUGCCUGUAUCCUUUGGGUCUGUUUGUUUUGUAGGCCGGUCCAAUUAAACCCCUAGCAUUUAUUGAGGAACCUGUCGUAUCGGGUACUGCGGAUUCCUCUGAAAUCCUCCCGGCAUGGAAGUUGGAUGGAGUCACUUGUGCUAACUCUCCUAACCCAUUGGUUUUCUGCUGUGCAGAUGGGGCAUGAAAUAGCCAUCUAUCAAGAGAUAGCGCCAUGUCAGAAACUGAGGCUGUGUUCUGUAGUCACGGAGACCUGGGCCAUACAGCAGUGCGAUUUGGGGCACCUUCCUGUCUCUUCUCACUAUAGAUCCUGAUGGGAACAGCAGAACUGUCUGUUCUUCUGUUCUUUGCUGUUCUCCAUAACAAGAUGGAGCCAAACAGGCAGUGAAGAGUCUGGUCUGACCACGUAAUGUUGGUACAAGUUUACAGACAGCUGUAAGAAGGGUGCUUCCUACAAGGAAAUGAUCAAAGAAAAGCCAAAAGUCCCCUUAAUAGCAUUACGCCAAUGUCAGUCUCCUGGUGCUGAUACCAUGCUGUGGUGACGUACGAUGUCACCCCCGUGGGAAGAAGAUGAAGAGGACAGGAGACAAAUUUUUGUAACUUCCCGUGGGUCGAUAGUUAUUUCAAAAUAAAACGUUUAAUGAGAAAGAGAGAGAGAGAGAGAGAGUAUGGAAUGGCAAUUGGAGAAAUGGGUGUUGGUUUUUACUUCCUGGCUGAACAAACAUUUACGUUUUGUUUGCCUCUUCCUCCCCUUUUUUGCAUCUCGAUCUUGUGAGCAGUCAGCCAUAAAAGGGCUCAUUUUUCUGUAGAAGAGAAAACGGAAGCAGAGGGGCCAAGAGAACCCCUGCCAACAUUGGGUUAGAAGGCCUACUUCCUGUCUUUCCCCACUCUCUUUACCUACACAAACUUACCUUCUGCAAUCACAGUCCCUUCGUCCUUCCUUCCCACUUGAGAGGAGAUACCUACAAGCGAGCCCCUCCACCUACACGAGAUGUCCAUCCCUUCCUUGUGUUUCCAGAGCUCAGUCCUUGUACAUAAUCGCCCCAUGUGAGUUCCUUCUAACCCUGGUUUAAUAACCACCUGUCUGGCAAUAGCUUCCAACUGUAUAUGUCUGCUCAGACUUUUACGCUGAGAUGCACACCUGUAUAUCCGACCCCUGACUAGGAAUCUCCACCUAGGUGUUUCCCAAGCCUUUCAAACUCCUUCCAAAUUAUCUUUUUCCUCCAAUGGUCCCUUAACUCUGAGAAUGUUAUCACCGUCUACCGUAUCAUCAACAGCAGAAAUGGGAGAGCCAUUCUGGACCCACACUGGUCAAAUAUGGUAGCUGCCAGCCACAUGUACUAUUCAGUACUUCAGAUACGGUCGGUGCAAAUUAAGAUGGGCUGUAAUCAUAAAGUACACACCAGAGUUAGUCCAGUAAAAAAGAAUGCACAAUAUUUCAGUAGUACUUUUUAUUGAUUUCAUGUUGAAAUGAUAGUAUUAGGGAUAUAUUGUGUUAAAUGAAUUAUUAAAAACGAGUUGUUGUUGUUUUUUAAAUGUGCUACUGAAAUAUUUAAAGUUGCAUAUGUGGCUCACAUUUGUGGCUUGCGUAUUUCGGCCAGAGAGCACUGCUCUAGACUCCUUUCUGCCUCUCAGCCACCGCCAGUUAGUCGAAGUAAUACACCAGGGACAAUAUUAAUGAAGUGCACAGGCUGAAUUUGAAUUCUGGCCCUGCCGUAUCUUGAUACAUGUGAACUUGGGCAAUUUUGUUGCCUCUUUGCUCCUGAGUUUCAUCAUACAUCAGAUGGGUAUAAUAACAGGACUUACUCCUCAGGAUCUUGCAAGUGUUAAGUGAGAUAACACGUAAAGCACUUACCCUGGAAUCAAAACCCAAUGUCAAGAGAAGGAGCACAGUCUCUCACUGUCAGAUUUCAGGCCCUCACCGUUUCUGACCACUGCAUUGGUUUGGCUGUCUGCAGUUCCACCUCGCCCUCCAGUCCUUCAUGCUGCACCAGACUGGACAUUUCCGAAUGCAAAUGUUAGCAACCCUUUCAGUGAUUCCUCCUCACCCUUGGCAUAAAGUUCAACGUCCUUGGCAGGCUGUACAAGGCCCUUCAUGAUCUGCCCCCCCACCCAAUCACCAAUCCCAUCUCACGCCAAUCCACUAUGGUUAUAAUGAACCAGAUGGUCUCCCCAACUCCUAUUUACAUGGAUCAUUCCCUCCAUCGGUGAUGUAUGUGCCCUCGACCUGUCUGCAAGGCUCAGUUUAUUUGUCAUCUCACUCCGGAAGCUCCCCCUUGUCUCUCCUGCACCUGCACCCUUCCCAGGGGGGUUAGGAACUCUCCUCUGGGCUCCUCAACCACUUGAGGUUUGGCUCAACUGAUCUCACUUGCUUGGUCAACUUGUGUGUCUUUCCAUCAAGACUGGGAGCCAGCUAAAGUCUAGGACCGCUCUCUAAUCCACUCUGGAUCCCCACGGAGCACAAUGACUGGCACAAAGUGGGGCCCAGUAGAUGUCUGCUGAGCGAAUGCAUAAAGCAUAGGAGAUAGUCCCGAGAGAGGUAAGGAGAGUGAAAGCCCAGUGAGGUCAAGCAGCAGAAAAUCUGAAGACCAGACUGAGGAGAAAUCACCACUCCUCGGCCAUGCAGACAGAGUUAGCAGAGAAAAGGGUCUGGACAAGUAGUCAGUAAUGGAGGAUUAGAAAUAAAAGAGAAUAAAAAAGAGAAGAUCAAGAGGGGAACAGAACCCCAUUUGGUACCACUGGGGGUUCAGUAGCUUCCUCUACAGUGGCCAGGAAGAGGCAAAGCUCUAGAAAAGCACAAAUCAUAUUUAAAAAUAAUAAUAAUAAAAAAAAGGAUGAUGUAUCAGCAA